UACGUAGGGACCGAGCGUUGUCCGGAAUCAUUGGGCGUAAAGAGCGUGUAGGCGGCCACUUAAGUCCUGCGUGAAAUCUUGCGGCUCAACCGCAAGCGGUCGUGGGAAACUGGGUGGCUAGAGUGCGGGAGAGGAGAGUGGAAUUCCUGGUGUAGCGGUGGAAUGCGCAGAUAUCAGGAGGAACACCGAUUGCGAAGGCAGCUCGCUGGAACGUUACUGACGCUGAGACGCGAAAGCGUGGGGAGCAAACAGG
rnacentral:rRNA from 1 species